AAUGAACGUUGGCGGCGUGGAUUAGGCAUGCAAGUCGAGCGCUCAUCAGCAAUGGUGGGAGCGGCGAACGGCGUAGUAAUGCAUCGGAACGUACCCUCUGGUCGGGGAUAGCUACGGGAAACUGUAGGUAAUACCCGAUGAACUCUGCGGAGCAAAGGUGAGAUUCCGCCGGAGGAGCGGCUGAUGUGAUAUUAGCUAGUUGGUGGGGUAAAGGCCUACCAAGGCGAUGAUGUCUAGGGGGUGUGAGAGCAUGGCCCCCACGACCGGAACUGAGAUACUGUCCGGACACCUACGGGUGGCUGCAGUCGAGAAUCUUCCGCAAUGGACGAAAGUCUGACGGAGCGACGCCGCGUGCGGGAUGAAGGCCCUUGGGUUGUAAACCGCUGUCAGAGGGGAUGAAAUCGUCGGAGGUACUCCUCCGAUGUUGACAGAGCCUCAAAGGAAGCACGGGCUAAGUACGUGCCAGCAGCCGCGGUAAUAC
rnacentral:rRNA from 1 species